GGACUCGGGGGGAAGUAUGCUCGCAAGAGUGAAACUUAAAGGAAUUGACGGAAAGGCACCACCAGGCGUGGAGCCUGCGGCUUAAUUUGAUUCAACACGGGAAAACUUACCAGGUCCAGACAUAGCAAUGAUUGACAGACUGAAGGUCUUUCUUGAUUCUAUGCAUGGUGGUGCAUGGCCGUUCUUAGUCGGUGGAAUGAUUUGUCUGGUUAAUUCCGAUAACGGACGAGACCUCAGCCAUCUAAAUAGCUGUUGCUUAUAAUUUUACCAUAUGCACAGCUUCUUAGAGGGACAAUCUGUGGCCAGCAGAAGGAAGUUUGAGGCAAUAACAGGUCAGUGAUGCCCUUAGAAGCUCUGGGCCGCACGCGGGCUACAAUGGCGCUUUCAGAUAGUAAUGCUCUUGAGAGCUAUUCAACCUUGAAAAUGCGUCUUAGUUGGGAUAGAUGAUUGUAAUUAUUCAUCUUGAACCAGGAAUGUCUAGUAAACGCAAGUCAUCAACUUGCAUUGGCUACGUCCCUGCCUUUUGUACACACCGCCCGUCGCUCCUACCGAUUGAAUAGUCCGGUGAACAUGGUGGAUGAUGCCUCUUCGGCAACAGAAGCUUUGUGAACCUUAUUAUUUAGAGGAAGAACAAGUCGUAACAAGG
rnacentral:rRNA from 1 species